rnacentral:rRNA from 1 species
GAAUCUGCCUUCAGGUCUGGGACAACAGAAGGAAACUUCUGCUAAUCCCGGAUGAGCCUAAUGGUAAAAGAUAAAUUGCCUGGAGAUGAGCUCGCGUCUGAUUAGCUAGUUGGUGAGGUAAAAGCUUACCAAGGCGACGAUCAGUAGCUGGUCUGAGAGGAUGAGCAGCCACACUGGGACUGAGACACGGCCCAGACUCCUACGGGAGGCAGCAGUGGGGAAUUUUCCGCAAUGGGCGAAAGCCUGACGGAGCAAGACCGCGUGGGGGAGGAAGGCUUUAGGGUUGUAAACCCCUUUUCUUUGGGAAGAAGUUCUGACGGUACCAAAGGAAUCAGCCUCGGCUAACUCCGUGCCAGCAGCCGCGGUAAUACGGAGGAGGCAAGCGUUAUCCGGAAUGAUUGGGCGUAAAGCGUCCGCAGGUGGCCAUGUAAGUCUGCUGUCAAAACCCAGGGCUCAACUCUGGUCAGGCAGUGGAAACUACAAAGCUAGAGUCUGGUAGGGGCAAAGGGAAUUCCCGGCGUAGCGGUGAAAUGCGUAGAUUUCGGGAAGAACAUCGGUGGCGAAAGCGCUUUGCUAGACCAGAACUGACACUCAGGGACGAAAG